rnacentral:rRNA from 1 species
AUUGGAGAGUUUGAUCCUGGCUCAGGACGAACGCUGGCGGCAUGCCUAAUACAUGCAAGUCGAGCGGACUUGAAGAGAAGCUUGCUUCUCUGAUGGUUAGCGGCGGACGGGUGAGUAACACGUAGGCAACCUGCCCUCAAGUUUGGGACAACUACCGGAAACGGUAGCUAAUACCGAAUAGUUGUUUUCUUCUCCUGAAGAGAACUGGAAAGACG